AUUGAACGCUGGCGGCAUGCCUUACACAUGCAAGUCGAACGGUAACAGGUCGUCGGAUGCUGACGAGUGGCGCACGGGUGAGUAAUACAUCGGAACGUGCCCAGACGUGGGGGAUAACGAGGCGAAAGCUUUGCUAAUACCGCAUACGAUCUAAGGAUGAAAGCAGGGGACCGCAAGGCCUUGCGCGUGUGGAGCGGCCGAUGGCAGAUUAGGUAGUUGGUGGGAUAAAAGCUUACCAAGCCGACGAUCUGUAGCUGGUCUGAGAGGACGACCAGCCACACUGGAACUGAGACACGGCCCAGACUCCUACGGGAGGCAGCAGUGGGGAAUGUUGGACAAUGGGCGAAAGCCUGAUCCAGCAAUGCCGCGUGCAGGAUGAAGGCCUUCGGGUUGUAAAGUGCUUUUGUACGGAACGAAAAGGCUCUGGCUAAUACCUGGGGCACAUGACGGUACCGGAAGAAUAAGCACCGGCUAACUACGUG
rnacentral:rRNA from 1 species